UACGUAGGGUGCAAGCGUUGUCCGGAAUUAUUGGGCGUAAAGCGCGUGUAGGCGGCCUGCUAAGUCCGCUCUGAAAGCCCAGGGCUCAACCCUGGGAGGCGGGUGGAUACUGGCAGGCUCGAGUCCGGAAGAGGCGAGUGGAAUUCCUGGUGUAGCGGUGAAAUGCGCAGAUAUCAGGAGGAACACCAAUGGCGAAGGCAGCUCGCUGGGACGUGACUGACGCUGAGACGCGAAAGCGUGGGGAGCAAACAGG
rnacentral:rRNA from 1 species